rnacentral:sRNA from 1 species
AAAAACAAAAAACAAAACAAAAACAUUGUAAAACCGCAAGCUCAGCAAAAAGAAAGAAGAAAAAAAACCUAGCAACAUACAACAAUAAUUACAGUGAAAUAUCUCCUCCCACCACAAUUUCCUCACCCUGGCACAAGAAAAACGUGAACCCAACAAUACUCAAAUCAAGUGGAAUAGCUGCUCUCUAUUAUUUUAUUGUACUUACGUCUCAAACGAAUCCUCAAGCGCUUAAUCCCCCGCUUCAAGAAGCCCCAAAUUAAAACGGCAUUAAAAAAUUGUUUGUUUUGAAUACUAUUUUGUUACUUGACAACGGAAAUUUUAGUUGUCGCCUACUUUAAUGGAUUCCUGCCAUAGUU